CUACAAACAAAAAUCUUUUCCAGGUGGAUUUUAUACAGUCCAAGAAACCCCCAAAGUAUUGUACAUGUGUUCAGGAAUGGUAGCCAAUGACGUUUCUGCUCAGCAUUCAAAUACACGGCUAGUGCUUGCUGUAGCAGUUGCAGUGAGCUUCAGAACCCUCCACCUCCCCCAGCUCCACCUGUAUAGAUCUGCUACAAGAUACAGACAGCUUUUCCACUGAAGAGAGCAAUAUUAUGGAUGGAGGACUCAAAUCUGUUCAGAUGAAGAAACAAUCUCAUCUCCAUCUUGAAUGGCUUUGAAGAUGAGUAAACUUUCUGCAAAAUGUUAUUUUUUGGGAGAACUGUUCCUUUAAUUUUGGAUAUGGAAUAUUGUAUAAAAAAA